rnacentral:lncRNA from 1 species
UUACUAUAGAAUGGGCGCUGGCGGAACUAAUUAAUCACCCAGAUAUCAUGAAUAAAGCAAGAGGAGAGAUUGACGUUGUAGUCGGAAAAAACAGAUUAGUAGACGAAUCAGAUAUUAGCAACCUCCCUUACUUUCAAGCCAUAGUAAAGGAGACACUUCGGCUUCACCCCACUGGCCCAAUGAUCGUGAGAGAGUCAAUUGAAAGCUGUACCAUCAAUGGCUAUGAGAUUCCGGCAAAGACCAGAGUGUUCAUUAAUGUGUGGGCAAUAGGCAGGGACCCGAACCACUGGGAAAAGCCACUUGAAUUCCACCCUGAAAGGUUCAUUGGUGAAGAUGGAAAGACCCAGUUGGAUGUCAGGGGCCAGCAUUAUCAUUAUAUUCCAUUUGGUAGUGGAAGAAGAGCCUGCCCCGGAAUCUCUUUGGCACUACAUAUGGUUCAGACAACCCUUGCUACUAUGAUUCAGUGCUUUGAUUGGAAGGUUAAUGGAGGAGAUGGCGCUACAGUUGACAUGGAAGAAGCCCCUGGCCUAACUCUUCCGAGGGCUUGUCCGUUAAUUUGUGUCCCGCUCACUAGGCUUAAUCCAUUUCCAUCAUUGGAAUGAUUGCAUUCAACAAUAAUGUAAAUGCGCCAUGAUGUAAGAGUAUAGAACUUGAUCAAUUACAAAUAUCAAACACAUUAGAAACCAAACAUGCAUGAUGCAAGGACCUUACUGGUUGUAAAAAUGGAAUCAAUAUCCAAAGCAAUAAGAUAUAUGUGAGUUUAAACUUCACUGCAGUAUAAUUAAUCAUGAUUCAAUAAGAUAUAUGUCAUGAGUAAAUUAUUUAUAUAAUAUGUUGGGAACUUGUCCAGACAAGUAAUGUAAUAGUUGUAACAAUAUUUCUCAAGUCUACAAGGUAAAAGACACAGAAAUUUCUUCUCCCUAAAGCCAACACAGCUUCCCUUGCUCUUAUAUAAAUACCUUCCUAAGAUAAACAACUUAAUCUGACAGCAAGCAUGGCUAUGAUCCAAAGAUAUUUCUAAAGAAACUUGUUUUCAUUUCUUAAAUAAAACAUUAUACACUAAGAGUUAUUUAUAGAUGCAGAGGUUAUAGAGGAGAGAUUGACGUUGUAGUCGGAAAAAACAGAUUAGUAGACGAAUCAGAUAUUAGCAACCUCCCUUACUUUCAAGCCAUAGUAAAGGAGACACUUCGGCUUCACCCCACUGGCCCAAUGAUCGUGAGAGAGUCAAUUGAAAGCUGUACCAUCAAUGGCUAUGAGAUUCCGGCAAAGACCAGAGUGUUCAUUAAUGUGUGGGCAAUAGGCAGGGACCCGAACCACUGGGAAAAGCCACUUGAAUUCCACCCUGAAAGGUUCAUUGGUGAAGAUGGAAAGACCCAGUUGGAUGUCAGGGGCCAGCAUUAUCAUUAUAUUCCAUUUGGUAGUGGAAGAAGAGCCUGCCCCGGAAUCUCUUUGGCACUACAUAUGGUUCAGACAACCCUUGCUACUAUGAUUCAGUGCUUUGAUUGGAAGGUUAAUGGAGGAGAUGGCGCUACAGUUGACAUGGAAGAAGCCCCUGGCCUAACUCUUCCGAGGGCUUGUCCGUUAAUUUGUGUCCCGCUCACUAGGCUUAAUCCAUUUCCAUCAUUGGAAUGAUUGCAUUCAACAAUAAUGUAAAUGCGCCAUGAUGUAAGAGUAUAGAACUUGAUCAAUUACAAAUAUCAAACACAUUAGAAACCAAACAUGCAUGAUGCAAGGACCUUACUGGUUGUAAAAAUGGAAUCAAUAUCCAAAGCAAUAAGAUAUAUGUGAGUUUAAACUUCA